rnacentral:tRNA from 1 species
GAAGGCAUGGCUCAGUGGUAGAGUGUGUGCUUAGCAUGCAUGAGGUUCUGGGUUCAAUCCCCAGUUCCUGCA